AUGCAGGACUGUAAGUCUACAAUUUGGUGUGAGACUGUGUGCCAAGAGCAAGUCAAUUCACUGAAGAGCUCGGCUUCUCAUAACCGAGACCUGUCAUUACUGGACUUAUGCUUCAGGACUACAUUCAAUAGACUGUGUCUUUAGAUGAGGGGAUGUAUCCUUUGGAAGGAUCACGUAGAUGUUGUCUCAACAGUUCUUCUCCCAUGGAAGUCUCUGCGGUUCCUCCUCAAGUGGGAGGGGGCCAUUUCCCUGAAGUCGAGGUUCAGGUAGACCAGGACCUAGUUGUUGCCCCAGAGAUCUUUGUGGAGCAGUUGGUGAAUGGCUUGUUGAUUGGCACCACGGGAGUCAUGUUGCAGAGCCUGAGAGCGGUUCACAAUGAUGUCCCUCCACGCCCACCAUUGCUACCUCCAGUGCAGAAUAUUCAAAUCCAAAGGAACUUCAGUGGACUUACUGGCACAGAGGCCCACAUGAGUAAAAGUAUGUGCUGUCAUUUCAAUUUUGAUCUUAACUCUGUUCCUGGGGUUGCAAGAGUUUGACUCAGUGCAAAGUAGUGGUCCCAUGCUUGUGUCACACCUCACAGAGGAGCUGAAAAAACUUGCAAAACGAGGAUGGUACUGGGAAACAACCACAUGUUGGGAGGCAGAAGGGAGCCUAGCAAAGAUGCCAGAUGGUUCUUUUCUUGUCCGGGACAGUUCUGAUGACCGUUACCUUUUAAGCUUGAGCUUUUGCCCCCAUGGUAAAACAUUUCACACUAGAAUUGAGUGCUCAAAUGGUAGAUUUAGCUUUUAUGAACAGCCAGAUGUGGAAGGACAUACAUCCAUAGUUGAUCUAAUUAAGCAUUCAAUCAGGUACUCUGAAAAUAGGGCUUUUUGUUAUUCAAGGUCUCUGCUGCCUGGAUCUGCAACUUACCCAGUCAGACUCACCAACCCAGGGUCCUGGUUCAUGCAUGUGUGCUCCCUGCAGUACCUGUGUCUUUUUGUUACAUGUUAGUAUACCAGGAUAGACUUAAUUCAGAAACUGCCUUUGCCAGAAAAAAUGAAGGAUUGUUUACAGGAGAAGCACUACUGAAAGACUGAGAACCCUACAUCUUGCACUCUGGGAAUAAGAAAAAGAGAUUGAAAGACAGUUUACAAACUUUCAUUGCCAUCAAAACCUUUUGCUGCCAUAACCAUUUCAGUUUUAUGUGUAAAAGAGUCAUCAGUUUGUUUAGGGGUGGGGAAGUGUCAGCAAGGUGUCUUGGGUUUCUUUUGGUUCUUUAAAAAGGGAAGUCUUGAGGUUUUAGAGGUGUGAAUUCUAUUUCAUCAAUGUGCAGAAUAAUCACAAUGUGAAUUAUCAAAUUCUCCUCAGUACUCCCCGCCCAGUCUUUGCUGCUAUCCACUGUGAUUUUUAUGCAUUAAAGGCACAUUUCAUGUGUAUUCAACCCUAAGUAAAGUUUAAUGAAACUUACAGAAUGGAAAUUGCUAUGUCUUUUUAAAUGGCCCAUUUUCAAAAGAUAGUGUUGAAUAAAUAUACCUGUGUGAUAAACACAGAAUUUACAUAUAUGCUGAAGAUGAGUUUUUAAUCUCUUACUUUAAAAAGAUUUAUUUAGAACCAUGAAUUGACAUAAUCUUGGGUAAUGGAAAGAAGAUGUACAACAUGUCUUUUAACAACACUUUUUUCUAAAUUAUUUCUGAGGUUGUGCUAAUAUUUUUGGUUGUGAAAGUUUGAAUUUUUCUGUUGCCUUCAUUUUCAUCUUACAGUUUGUCUAUUUUAAUAAAUGGCCUUACAUUAAAAAAUUAUAAAGAAAUAUAUACCACCAAUUUAGAAAUUGUUGCCUUUUCUGUAAUUAAACUGGGGUACAAAUUGGCAUAACACAAAAACCUAUGGAACUAGAAUUAUUAUUAAAAAAAGAAAAAAUCUGGCAUAAAUUGAAGUGUUUUCAAAGUGUGAAAUAUUUUAUACAUAUUAUAUAACUGAAUAAAUUUGAUGUGCUGGCACAUUUAGAAAUUAAUCUUAAAAUCAAAUCAUAAAAAGCUAUGAUGAGCAUAGCUUUUAUAUAUAGAAUAUUGACACAAAUUUAUAGGUGUAAAAUAUAAGUAACCUUUUAUUUCGAUAUAAAUGUUUUAGAAUAAUUCUAUUUAUGAAUUCUUACUAUAUUAAGAUGGGUGUUUACAUGUUUUUUUCUAAAUCUUUUGAUUGUUUUUAUUUGACUUAAAAUAUUCCAUUUCCUCCUCUUAGGCACUAUGAUAACAUAUCUUUGCCCUGGAGGACACUUGCCCGUUUGUUUCCUGUGCUCUUCUCUUUGCUGGUUUUAUCUUUCACUCAGGGAGCAGACACAUGAUUGGAUCCUCACUUUGAGAUUUAAUUAUCUGUGGGAGGCAACGCAUAUAUUCAUUUCAUUGAUUUCUUGCAAACCAAAGCUCACAAUUCUGACAAUACCAAUUGAUAGCAACAUUUUUAAUCUUUUAUAACUUUUUGUAGAGGUUACCGGAACAUUACACACCAACUGACUUGAUUAAUUUGUUAAACCGUGUGGGUCACAGUCUAACAAUCUAAUCCCAAAUCUAGUUCUUUAUGAUAUUUAAAUGUGUAUAAGGCAAAACUGGUUAAUGUAAAAAAUAUGCGUACAAAGUAAAAUAAAACUACUGAAGGGAGUUCAGACUUUGGAAGAGUUUUAAAAUUGUAGUGAUUCCCCUUUCCCUCCAUUUUAAUAAGUAAAAUCAGAUAUAUUGUUUGUAAAAGGAGAAUUGACUACCUUUACUCUUGACUACCUUUACUCUUUAUUGUAGUCAAAGUUGAUAAACUGGUUUCAUUUUGUAUGAUAUUCACAUUUUAACUGUGUAUCAGUACAGACAUAGAAAAAUCACAAACUUGAAAGAUUUAACUUUUAAAAACAAGCACUAUUGGGCUGAGUGCCGUGGCUCACACCUGUAAUCCUAGGACUUUGAGAGGCCAAGGCAGGCAGAUCACUUGACGUCAUCAGGAGUUCAAAACCAGCCUGACCAACAUGGCAAAACCCCAUUUCUACUAAAAAUACAAAAAAUUUGCUGGCUGGGUGUGGUGAUGAGUGCCUGUAAUCGCAACUACUCAGGAGGCUGAAGCAGGAGAAUCGCUUGAACCUGGAGGUGGAGGUUGUAGUGAGCCAAGAUCGUGGCCACUACACUCCAGCUUGGGUGACAGAGUGUGACUCUGUCUCAAAAAAGCACUAUUAGGACAGUCUAGAUGCACAGAUUAUCUUAGCACCUCAAUCAAUAGAGAUAAAAAUGUUACAAAUUAGGCAUUCUAUCAUAUUCUUCUGCUUUUUACUGAGUGAUGGAUUUUAGUGUUAAUUUGUUGUUCCAUCUUUGGUUUCUUUUAGUCUAUGAUCAUUAUUUUUAUUUUAUAGGCUGAUAGAACAUUAUGGCUGUAAAAAGCUCUAGCAUUUAUCUAGUCAGCUCUCCCAUUUUGCUGAUAAGAAAACUGAGGCUCAGCAAGGUUGCAUCAUCCAGGGCACAGAGUUAGUGGUUGAGCCUCAUCAGGAACCCAGGCACAGUAAAGUUUGUGAGAAUGUCAUUUCCUAUUAUUUUUAAUUUAUCUUUCAUAUAUUUAAAUCUGGCCUUCACAUAUCAGGUCAACUAAUAUAUACAAUAAUAAUUGAAUAUCUAAUGUGGUGUCUGGUGGUGAAGUGAGUUUUUGAAUGUCUAUGAACUGACUUCAUUAUUAUAGGUAUUUCAGAAUCUAUCAGAUUAUGUCUCCACCAUUACUUACGUACUUGUUUUGAAUUAUUUUUUAGUAGAUGUACAGGUUGUAUUACAUUUGGUUUAUUUUGUUAAGAUCAAGAAAAUAUGGACCCUAGUAUAGGGAAUAUGUUUUAUGUGUAUGAAAUUUGCUACAUAUUCAGAGGUUGAAAUGACUAUAUUUUACAAAAGAUUUUAAGUACUAUGUUUAGCAAGAAAGGUUAAAGUUCACAGAGACUCUACUAUGAAUAAACCAUUGCUCCAGGUAAUUUCCAUGAAUUAUGUAAUUUAAAAUUCAUGCAACUCUGUGAAAGAACUACUGCAUUCUGUAGAUGAGGCUGAGAGUAGGUAUAGAUACCUACUCAUGGGGUGAAGCUUGACAGAACCGAGAUUUCAUCCCAGACAUUAGGUUCCACAGCCACACUUGGUCAUAGCAACAUAAAAUAAACUAGAAAGUUUGCUCAUCACGUAAAAUUGGAUGAAAGAGCCAACACUUAAGAGAAUACAAUUCAAAUUAAUAAUGAUUCAAUAACUAGGUAUAGAUUCACAAGAUUAAAUAUAAGAGGAAAAGUUUAAAGUUAUUAAUCCAUGGAAGAGAAGCAAACUCCUAAAACAGGAGAUGUAAAAGUAAACUUUUACCAUUACUGGUAGAAAAACAUGAGCCAAUCAUGACUUGCUAUAAUAAUUUUAAAAGGUAUAAAAGAAAUAUAGAAGUUAUGAACUAACAGUUAAAUUUCCACCAUGGUUAGAAUUUGUAAAAUUGUUCUGUCUUUUCUUCCCAAUUUAGUAAAAAUUUUCUUCCACUCCGUUAGUAAAAAGCCAUAACCACAAAUCUCUGUGAUAAAUUUUUUUCUAUCUUGGGCUUUAUAUGAGGCUGUUAUAGAACAUCACUUCUAAGAUCCUAGAGAAACUUUUAUCUGACAGAAUACUCUAAAGCUCCAUUUUAGAUCCUUCUGAGGUUUUAGCACAUAAUUUUAUAGUCCCACCUAGAUUUGAUAUUUGCCCUGAAGUUCUAUCUUAAUUUGAGAAUUUUGGAGAGGCUGAGAAUAAGAAAUAGUUUUUAAAUUGAACUCAGCAAGUUAUAUUCCUUUAUAUUUAACAGAUUUUUAACUGUUGCCUCUUCUCUAUAUUUUAUUAGUAAACACCAGGGAGUUGUUUCAACACUCUGUUUGGAAAUAUCCUUGGGUAGACCACAUUGCAUUGAGUAUGCUUUUGACUUUCCGUGUGGAUCACAGGUGACAGUGCUGCUAAACUUUCUGCCACUCCAUGGCAAGGAUCCUCUUUCCUUUAGUUUCCAGUAACAUUUCCUUCACUUUCCUUCAAGUUCUCACUGAAGGAGCCUCCUUGAAGGCCCAAAGGCUUCUGCUAACAAUUCUGAAAGUGAGACAGAUCCUGAAGAUGCUUGCGACUGGAAGCUAUCAACUAACUGCAUUGCUUGAAGCUGAUUCUCUUUUGAAGGGAGUAUUGAGCAAGUCACAUUUAUGGUUAUCACAUAUGACAUUCAUGCCAAGCCAUGUUUUUGCUUCUACCAGCCCUUCUAGGCUUCUCUCCAGCCAUAGCCAGCAUUUCACUCUAUGUCUUUGACCACACAAAGCUUGCAUACCUCAAUACACCUUCAAAUCACUUAAAACCAUAACUUAUUCCAGGCUGAGGUAGGUGCCUCUGAGCACCCUAUAAUACUUACAAUACUGUAAAUAUUUCCAUAGCACCUUUGAAAGAUCUUCAUUACUGUAUUACGGCAUUCUGUGGUACCUGGAUUAAAAUCUUGGCUCUGACACUGAUUAGCUAUGUGACCUUGGCCAAGUUAUUUGGCCCCUCUGUGUCUGAGCUUCAUCUUUAAUAUGGGGAUGAUAAUAUCAUUUAUUAUAGGGUUAUUGGGAUUAAAUGUGAUAGUAAGUGCUUAGAACAUAAUCUAACACAGAGUAAGUGUUCAGUAAGUAUUAGCCAUGAUUAUUAAUGAUCUGAACUAAUGGUUAGGAUAUGUUCAUUGAAAUUGUUGGAUUGCAGAGCAAAACUGACAUAAAAGUGACUAUGCUUUAGAUCCCUACCUUCUCAAGAGACAGGAUGAAACUGAAGUCAUCAGAAUAACC